AUACGUAGGUGGCAAGCGUUGUCCGGAAUUAUUGGGCGUAAAGCGCGCGCAGGUGGUUCCUUAAGUCUGAUGUGAAAGCCCCCGGCUCAACCGGGGAGGGUCAUUGGAAACUGGGGAACUUGAGUGCAGAAGAGGAUAGUGGAAUUCCAAGUGUAGCGGUGAAAUGCGUAGAGAUUUGGAGGAACACCAGUGGCGAAGGCGACUGUCUGGUCUGUAACUGACACUGAGGCGCGAAAGCGUGGGGAGCAAACAGGAUUAGAUACCCUGGUAGUCCGCGCCGUAAACGAUGAGUGCUAAGUGUUGGGGGGUUUCCGCCCCUCAGUGCUGCAGCUAACGCAUUAAGCACUCCGCCUGGGGAGUACGGUCGCAAGACUGAAACUCAAAUGAAUUGACGGGG
rnacentral:rRNA from 1 species